GGAGCUUGCCCCAUUUUAGACAAACAGACUUUUCACCAGAGAUCUGGGUUACAGAGCUGGAUAACUCUUUCUACUUUUUAACAGACAUUAACAGGGUCCUGCCGAAGAUUCCUCUCUAUUGGGAAGCCACAGGCAGUGCAGCACACGGCAGGAACACAAUCAAAUCCUAAGGACCUUCAGAGGAAAGAGCCUGCAGUGCAUUCCAAUGGGCAUUUUUAGGAAGUGACUUGGGCUGCUUUGCUGUUUGUCAGAAAAAAAACACCAGGAAGCAGACACGGUCUGACCACAAGAGGCUGGUGAGCGGCG